rnacentral:rRNA from 1 species
UACGUAGGGUGCAAGCGUUAAUCGGAAUACUGGGCGUAAAGCGUGCGCAGGCGGUUCUAUAAGACAGAUGUGAAAUCCCCGGGCUCAACCUGGGAACUGCAUUUGUGACUGUAGAGCUGGAGUGCGGCAGAGGGGGGAUGGAAUUCCGCGUGUAGCAGUGAAAUGCGUAGAUAUGCGGAGGAACACCGAUGGCGAAGGCAAUCCCCCUGGGCCUGCACUGACGCUCAUGCACAAAGCGUGGGGAG